rnacentral:pre_miRNA from 1 species
CCUCAUUGCCGUGUGCAAUCAGUACAAAGUAAUUCUCAUUGCACACAGUAGUGGGGCU